ACGUCGUCUCUCUUAUCUCCAACACCUCCCUCUUCUCGCCCCAAACCCUAGAGGUAUGACGGGCACCGAUCUGGUGGCGCCACCACCGCGGAUGACCACGUGCCGGCAAGGCCCCCAUCUGUCCCUCGCUUGAUCCCCUCCGCCCGCUCCUAUGGUGUGUGCCACCGAAGCCUCCGGCGGCGCUUGCGUCCUGGGGUCCGCCCCCUAUCGCUCAGCCUCGUGUCUGCCGGCGCAGGCGCCGCCACCUAGUCAUGUGUGCCGUUCUGGGAGGCUUGACAAGCUGCUGAUUAGAGGACACCAACCUAGCCUCAGAGGAGGCCAUCCUCGCCAAGUUCGUGUAGGUGUUGGUCGCCUGCGUGCGCGGCCAUGCCGCCGCCGUCCCCUGCUACGAAUCUCGCUCACUGCAAGCUGCAGAGCCCGUGCCCAUCUCCCCUGAGGCUGCACCAUCCUAAGUUUCUAUUUUCUAUCUGGGCUCCACGACCGGUAGUAGGAUGCUCAUUAGGCAACCCAAGGUGUGUACGCCCCUACUUCCCCAAGGUACUCAAGCCUCACGCCUGGGCUGACCACGAGAUGUGUGCUGCUGUGAGGCAUGUAGCACCACUUCUCCCGACUGCUAUCAUUAGUGAAAGAUCUCAUGUCACGGCGUCAUGGUCUCAUGGAAUGGACAUCACAUGGCUUAUUAGGAACUCUGAGUUCAGCGGGCACCAUGCCGAAUGUGUUAGAUCCACUAUUUUAGAGGGUAAAUAGGUCAACCUCUUCCAAUACACAAUUGCUGAGGUGUUCAAAAAUCUUAGUGAGAGAGGACAUUGACGGAGCGAGAAUGGAACACAACAAGUUUUGUGUGCGUGUGUGUGUGUGUGUGCAUUACCGAAAUGUCGCAAAACAUGACUAAGAAAAAGUUCAUCUAUGUGUAACUACCAGGUUCUCGAAGUCCGCCCUCUCAUUGAUUGGAACAGGGUGAAAGUUGUGGAAUUUUUGCUGUAACCGCCUGGAUGAAGAUGACAGGGCUAACAAAGAUGCAUUCAAGUUGAAGAUUCAGAGUUGCAAGGCAGGCACAGUUAACAAGGAUAAGAAACUAUAGAAGAUUUAUCAAAUCAGACAUGGGCUUGGUUAUGCACUGAAUCAUUGUGGGGGAUCCGAGGAUGGAACUGGAACCAAACUUGGUAGUUGAAAUAAUUCCGUGUCGUAAGUUGCAUAUCCUAAACAGUAAUUUAUGACAUUUCGUUUUCGUCCUUAUGAUAUAAAGUUCAGUGUUUCUUUCAUUAUGUUUCAUGGUAAUGAUGCGUUGUAUAUGUUUUAGUGAAUGGAGGAAUCUGAGAACACAUUGUGAUUUAACCUUACCCUGUUAAAUGCUUACAUGAAUGUUCGUCCUGUUCAAUUAAAGAUAGCCAUGAUUAUAGGAAUGUUAUCUUUCUACAAGCAUGUUUGUGUGUAGAUAUAAACAUGAUUCUCACAACCCUUCCUAAUUUGUAAUGCAAAUACUUGACUAAUGUUGGAUGUUGCACAACCAACUUUCCACUUUUAUCACAAAAGUGAGAAGACUAGCGAAGUGGUUGGUGUCGGCGUGAAGAAACUUGAAGCUGCCAUGCAUGCAAAGUCUCCACAGGCGGCGACGACUAUAAUGAGGAUCACGGUAGCAGUGAAGUCAGAACCGGCAAGCAGGGAGGAGGGCAACCAGCUUGAAAGCAGACUUCAUCCCGAGAAAGGCACUUAUUCACCCUUAUUUUGCAAAUAGUACUUAUCCUUAAUAGGUUUUUAUCUCAGAGCCGGAAAUAAUAUACCCAAUUCAUAUGCAAUGAAUACACACGAAAUAUAUGAAUACUAAUGAAGGCCAUGUGUCUUUCUUAUUUCAUGCACUCUAUGCCCAGUUACCUACUUAAGAGUUUCAGUUGGUUGCAUAUUUCUCGUGCCACUGAAAUAUGUAAUGUGAAACCCGCUCCCAUCUGCUCUCAUUGUAUAAGAGUGUAACUUUUUAUAUAACCAGAACCCUUCCAGGUGUUAGAUUUAUAGUGAAUUACUACUUAGUUUACUAUUCAGGAUGUUCCCAUAUUUUUCUUGGGUACAGUUAAUAAUUUUCAUGUUUUAUGCAGGUUUGGUGUGGUUAAUUCAACAGUUAUAUCAACAUGUACUAAAAAUCUAAUUAUUUUCUCUUGUCGUUCUUUUGUGGUUAAUUCAAGGAAGACCCUACAUCUAAAGGUAACACAACAGUUAUAUCAUAAUUCCAUUGCUGGAUUUCUAGAAGAAUGAAAAAGGGAGAAAUGGUUGUUUCAUUUGGUGUGCGAAUCUGGUUUAAAGUGUGCGUGCUUAUAUCUGGAAGAUCUUGGUUUCCUAGCAGUGAAUGUUGGUGUGGGGAUGCAGGGAGGGGGAACAACUUGAAGAUGGGUAGCACUAUAUAGUUUCCUAGCGGUGAAUGUUGCCAGCUUCUUACAUUUUAUUUGUAUCAUAGUCAAUUUGUUCGUUUUGAUUUAUAGCCUUGUAUAUGUUCACCUCUAUUACCAGAUUUCCAUAAUGGAAGGUCGUCUGGUGUAUUUGAAUGUUGCCAGUUUAUGUGGGCCAACAACCAAUGAGCUUAUGUCAAAACAA